UAUAGUUGCAGGUAGGAAAUCUACACUGCUUAUCGGUCAAGUCGAGUUAGCGCUUAAGCGAACUGUAAGUUCGCCGACCGCCGAGCCGCCCUUGAGGCGGUUUUUUGUUUU
rnacentral:ncRNA from 1 species